rnacentral:rRNA from 1 species
UACGUAGGUGGCGAGCGUUAUUCGGAUUUAUUGGGCGUAAAGGGUCCGUAGGGGGUUCGGCAAGUCUGGUGUGAAAUGCCUCGGCUCAACCGAGGACGUGCAUUGGAAACUGCCGGACUUGAGUGCCGGAGAGGAAAGCGGAAUUCCAGGUGUAGCGGUGGAAUGCGUAGAUAUCUGGAGGAACACCAACGGCGAAGGCAGCUUUCUGGACGGUAACUGACCCUGAAGGACGAAAGUCGGGGGAGCAAACAGG